rnacentral:lncRNA from 1 species
AUGAGCGGGUCAUUAAUAGUUAAUGAAACAGCUGCUGGUGAUCUCAGAAGCAAAGGCAAGAUGAGAACAGAAGUGUUUGCCCAUUCACUACAGUGUGAUAAUGCAAAGGAACGGCUUGAUCCUUUCACCAGAUCCUUCCCGUCAGGACAGGACCCUGGGGCUGGUCACAGACCUCCAGGAGAACUGCACGCAGCCUCUCUGUGUGUGGUGGCAGCCAGGGGACGGCUCCCUUGUGCUGGACCCAGCAGUGGUGGGUCCCAGGGACGGAGACUGCUGCAAAAAGUCUGCACGGACUGUCCCGAUGCUCCAGGCACAUCUGCUGGGGGGAGAAAAACUCAGGACUACGUCCAACUGAAACACUGUCCUGAAUGCAUGUCCAGACCUUGUGAAAGGGAGGUGAGGAAGGGUCCUCCAGUGGGGCUGAACCAGCACGAGGCGAUGGGGAAGGACGCAACGGGUCCAAGGCAGCAGACUUCAGUACAUGAUCCAGCUGUGACCCCAGAAAAUGGACAGACAGGAGACUCAGAUUUUGAAACUUGUGUUUGCCUCGAGGAACGCUUCCCAAACCACCUCUAUCCCCCUGCCAUAACCACGGGGCGCACAGACGGGACUCCGGCACAUCCGCAGAGGAGAGGAGCCCUGCAUAAACCGAGUUUGAGCGACGGCAAAACUUGA